UGUUUUACUUAGUUCUUUUUCUGGGGUUUUGUUCUGCUCUUUCAUUUGGCCCAGAUUUCUUUGUCUCCUCAAUUUGGCAACCUCCCUGUGUUUGUUUCUGUAUAUUAGGUAUAGCAGCUUUGACUCUCUUUUAGUAGCAUGGCCUAUUCUAGAUGACUGUGGCUUCUUUAAAUCCUUG